AUACGGAGGGUGCAAGCGUUAUCCGGAUUCAUUGGGUUUAAAGGGUCCGCAGGCGGGAAAAUAAGUCAGUGGUGAAAGCCUACAGCUCAACUGUAGAACUGCCAUUGAUACUGUUUUUCUUGAGUAUAGAUGAAGUGGGCGGAAUAUAUCAUGUAGCGGUGAAAUGCAUAGAUAUGAUAUAGAACACCGAUUGCGAAGGCAGCUCACUAAGCUAUUACUGACGCUCAGGGACGAAAGCGUGGGGAGCGAACAGGAUUAGAAACCCUAGUAGUCC
rnacentral:rRNA from 1 species